ACCAGUGAGAUGCCACUUUUUUCUCCACAUCUCUGCCUGCCUGGAGAUCUCUCCACCCAACUGGAUUUUGUGCAGGUUUAGAAGAUGCUUGGUCAGCCAGAAAUAUGAGCCAAAUCAACCACAGUGCAGAAAAUCCAGAAUUGUGACAGGAAUUUCCACCAUAAACCCUCUCUGCACCAGCAGUCACUGUGCUGGUUCUGGAUGUGUUUGUGGAGUUUCAGUGAGUUCCCCACCCUUCCCCGUGGUGAUGCUGCCCGAGCCUCUCUCCAAGCAGCUGAUGAUGUUUUGGGAGAGCUCAGCUGCCUUUGCACCAGCCUGGAUUCCUUCCCACUGACAACACCAAGUUCCCUGGAGCCUGAGAACCAAUGCAUUAACUCUGAGAAGGGGCAGCAGAAGGAAAGCCUGGAGCUGGAACAUCCUUUGAGCAACAGCAAAGGAAGAGAAAACAAAACCACCCCUCUAAGAUGGCUGCAAACAGAAGGUCUCUGCAGCCCCUCCUUAAACACUGAAGAUAUUUUCAUUUAAAAUAUCUACUUAAAGGCAGGUUUAAUCUCAAAACGGCAUUUUCCACUUUAAAAAAAAAAAUCACAUGCACACAAAAAACCCCCACCUUCAAAAAUGUCUUCAGUUAUUUCUCCUUCAAUUUUUUUUUUCCAAUUAAAUUAAUUUAAACAGAGUGAAAAAUGCUUUAUGCCCUGAGAGCCUGAAACCUCUGGUGUCAGCUGAAACGGGCACUUGUGCUCUCAGCUUCAGCCCUCGCUGCAGGCACCUCUGCUUUGAAGCCUUUGAAGUGUUUGUGGCACAGGAAGAGGCUCUCCUCAGAGAACACCAGUUAUUUUACAGAUAUUUAAUGUGUGAAGUGUGUGUGCCUGUGUUUGGGUUCGGAUAACGGGGCUUUCACAAGGCAGGUGGGAAAACAGGGAUGGGAUCCUGACUUGCAGAGCAAAACCGAAGGAAAAACCACUUUGGAGCAUCUCUUAAGCUGCUUCCAGCCUUCACCAGCACCGCCCUGAAGAUGCGGGUGAAAUUAUGAAAUUAUGUGACCUUCAGAGGGACCAAAAUAUUUUUUUAGUAUCUUUAGAACUCACUCAGUCUCCCAGCACCAGGAUUUCCCUUAGAGGAAAAGAUGCCACCAAAAAAAGCCUGGGGACACCAGGAGCAAGGGGCUGGGGUGCCCAUGCCCACAGGGCAGCUGGAACCACUCCUGAGCUUAUUCUGGGGCUGUGAUGCAAAAGUCUUGCAAAAAAUUUGAUUAAUGGCUGUAUUUUUUAGUUAAUUAAUUAACUCACGUAAUGACCUUGCUUGUGAUUUGAGAGGUAAAACCUCUGCCUGAAUUUCAGGGGGGCUGAUGCAAAACCUCCACCUCAACACCCAGCAACACCAAUUUUGAGGCUGAUUUGUUUAAAUUGUUACAUUUCCCUUCUUUUUGGGGGGGCAGGGUGCCCAAAGUGUCCCAGAACAAGCCACAUUUAUUCACUGUGGACUACAAUUAUUCCAGCUUGCAACCAAUGAGGUUUCAUUAAUAUUAAAAUUUUAAAUCAGCCAGCUCAGCCAAUGUUAUUUGAGCACUGAUGGUCUGUUGAAUAUCUUCUCUCAUGGACUGGUAUUUAAAUAGAAGAAAAUAAAAAAAAAAUUCUUAUACCUGAAAUGGAAAAAUAAUUAUGUUCUAUGACUUUGCAGAGUUAUUUUUGAGGACACGUAAUAUAUUUUUGCAGAGUCCCUGUUCUAGGAGAGGCUCUUUCUUCUUGGUGUUUGUUACUUCUCUUAAUGUAAACAC